rnacentral:rRNA from 1 species
GACGAACGCUGGCGGCGUGCUUAACACAUGCAAGUCGAACGGAAAGGCCCUGCUUUUGUGGGGUGCUCGAGUGGCGAACGGGUGAGUAACACGUGAGUAACCUGCCCUUGACUUUGGGAUAACUUCAGGAAACUGGGGCUAAUACCGGAUAGGAGCUCCUGCUGCAUGGUGGGGGUUGGAAAGUUUCGGCGGUUGGGGAUGGACUCGCGGCUUAUCAGCUUGUUGGUGGGGUAGUGGAUUACAAAGGCUUUGACGGGUAGCCGGCCUGAGAGGGUGACCGGCCACAAGAGUACUGAGAUACGGCCCAGACUCCUACGGGAGGCAGCGGUGGGGAAUAUUGCGCAAUGGGCGGGAGUCAGAGGCAGCAACGCUGCGUGCGGGAUGACGGCCUACGGGUUGUAAACCGCUUUCGCCUGUGACGAAGCGUGAGUGACGGUAAUGGGUAAAGAAGCACCGGCUAACUACGUG